GAUGAACGCUGGCGGCGUGCCUAAUACAUGCAAGUCGAGCGAACGGACGAGAAGCUUGCUUCUCUGAUGUUAGCGGCGGACGGGUGAGUAACACGUGGAUAACCUACCUAUAAGACUGGGAUAACUUCGGGAAACCGGAGCUAAUACCGGAUGAUAUUUUGAACCGCAUGGUUCAAAAGUGAAAGACGGUCUUGCUGUCACUUAUAGAUGGAUCCGCGCUGCAUUAGCUAGUUGGUAAGGUAACGGCUUACCAAGGCAACGAUGCAUAGCCGACCUGAGAGGGUGAUCGGCCACACUGGAACGGAGACACGGUCCAGGCUCCUACGGGAGGCAGCAGUAGGGAAUCUUCCGCAAUGGGCGAAAGCCUGACGGAGCAACGCCGCGUGAGUGAUGAAGGUCUUCGGAUCGUAAAACUCUGUUAUUAGGGAAGAACAUAUGUGUAAGUAACUGUGCACAUCUUGACGGUACCUAAUCAGAAAGCCACGGCUAACUACGUG
rnacentral:rRNA from 1 species